AAUAUCCACUUUAUAGAGACCCACACCUAUCACAAAACUCCAAAGUACACCAAUUCAUCUUCCUUUCAACUUUCCCACCUACAGCGACCAACGACUCAUUCCAUCCGUUUUCCGGUGACCGGCGACCAGCGAGGCAGCAACCUCAAGCAGCAGCAGCAGCCACCAGUCAACCAGCAGGCAUCGACACUACGGUAGGCGGCACUAGUCAGCACAGCCGACUUCCGGCGGGGGGGCGACCACCAAUCCACCAUCAAUCCCACUAAAAGGUCUAAUAUGUCUCAACAAAGGGCAACAAGGGUGCGGACUCAAGAAGAGGAACUCACUGUUGUUGGUGGAUUAAAAAAGUUGUGUGCUGAUGAUUGGAAAGAAGAUAAUGACACCUUUAAAGAUGGAUAUUUGAUUUAAUUAGAACAACACAUGAAUGUUGGUCAUCCGAAUUGCGGAUUGCAAGCUAUACCAAAGAAUUUUCAAAAAAAAUAAGAGGGUGGAAAAAGCAUUAUAUGACCAUAUAGGUUGUAAAAAGUCGAAGUGACUUAGGAUUUCGAUAUAUCGAUGGAACUAUCUUAGUUGACGAUCCAAAAUCUUGGGAUGACUUCAUAAAGAACUAGAGCAAGAGGAAAGUAUUUGGAAAGGGAAGAAUCAAGUUUCUUAGGGGAUUCAAGGCUUGUUCGAGGCGGGUUAAUGUUGGUGUCACUUACGACGGUCUGGAUCGUGAAAAAGUUUGUAUCAUAGCCUAGGUUCAUUGAUCUCGAUGUACCAAAACAAGUCUAGCAGAGUUGCUGAACGACACAAAAAUGCCUGUAAUUUUCUUCAAGAGGCCACAUGACUUUAGAAAAUCUCUUUAUUUUCUAUUGUCUCCUUUCGUGCUAUAACUUUGUUCCAACUGGUUUCUGGUAAUACAAAUUGGUAUCUAAUCUCCUUCAUUCUUCUGUGCUCGAGAAGGUUAAAACUAGAUUCAACGCGUGAGACCCGUAGCUCUCGUCAAUGAACCAACUGUGGGUCGCAACCAGAGGUUUCGGUCAAGGCAGGGACAGAGGAAGAGGCAAAGGCUGAAGAUGGGUUGCACUUACUUGGAGUGGAGAACCAGUUGUGAAUGCAACUAGAGGUGAUGUUCCUCCCUCACAUCAUGAAGAGGUAGAGAAAAUGUGGAUAAUGGAGACGAGGAGGAUGUUGGAUAGGAAGAGGAUACACCAACUGGGAAUACUGGCGUCCCUCCCUUAGAUCCAAUGUUAUCUUAGAAUAUCAUGACUUUUCUUAAGGGAUUGGUUGGUCAUGGAAUCCUUCAAGCAGGGCAAACAACUCAACCCCCAAUUAAUCACCUUGCUACUAUUACUUGUCUAAGGGGAGAUACGACAUUAUGUAUUUAUUUUUUUUCGUCCUUUGUUGGGUCGUAUGAUGAUUGGGAAUGAGCAUGACAUAUUUUUCAAACUAAAGCAUCCAGUGUUUCUUGGUUUUGAAAAUGAGGAUGCUUAUGAGUUUAUUUUA